rnacentral:rRNA from 1 species
AUUGAACGCUGGCGGCAUGCCUUACACAUGCAAGUCGAACGGCAGCACGGGGGCGAACCCUCGGUGGCGAGUGGCGAACGGGUGAGUAACAUAUCGGAACGUGCCCUCGGAGUGGGGGAGUAACUAGUCGAAAGAACUAGCUAAUACCGCACACGAUCUACGGAGUGAAAGUGGGGGAGUCGCAAGACCUCAUGCUCGUGGAGCGGCCGAUAUCUGAUUAGCAGUUGGUGGGGGUAAAGGCCUACCAAGGCAUCGAUCAGUAGCUGGUCUGAGAGGACGACCAGCCACACUGGGACUGAGACACGGCCCAGACUCCUACGGGAGGCAGCAGUGGGGGAA